AGAGAGGUUGUCCCAAACCACAGAGCAGCCACACCAGGAUUUGACAUCUGGCAGUCCAGGGGUGACCAACUCUAACUGAUUUGCUUGGGACCACCCUAAUUUUAAAAUGGAAAGAUCCACCUCCCAGAAAAGGGCAAAGGAGAAGGUCCAGAUCAGGAUGAAAUGAGUAAGAAACCUGCAUGGCUAGCAAGGGGAAGACUUUGGGAGGAAGGCCAGAACAGGAGACAAGAGAGCGUUUUCUCUUAACAUCAGUGGGAGAGAGGAUGUCUCUGUUGAGAAAUGCUUCAAAAGCUCCAUUUGCUGCACAGGCUGCAGUCAGGGUGUCACUGGCAGCUGAAAGCAGAGGACAGGGAAAGCUAUUGUGUAACAGAGGAAAGAGCACUGAAUUGGAGCUGGCUGGAGGAUUUUGGAUGCAAGAGAGGAGGCAGAGAAGGAUGCUACUGCAGUAACUCCAUGUAACUCCUCUUUGUGACCUUCCAUCUUCAUCUUAAAUUACAUUUCCAACCAUCACAAAUUGCUGGGAGUGAGGCCCGUCACAAGACUGCAGAGGCCAGGGUCUGUGUGGUCCUUGGUCCACUUCUGGAUUUCAUUAACAUCACAUCUGCAGGAAAUGAAUUCAUCCACUCUUUCUGGGAAGGUUGGCUCCUCUGUGGCUGUUAGCAAUUAAGAGGUUCCAGAUUGAUUUUGCUAUUGA